rfam:Pteropus alecto contig17566, whole genome shotgun sequence.
GGCUCCAUAGUGUAGUGGUUAGCACGUCUGUUUUACAUGCAGAAAGUCCUGGGUUUGCGCCCCAGGUGGAGCUA